AGUGAACGCUGGCGGUAGGCCUAACACAUGCAAGUCGAACGGCAGCACAGGAGAGCUUGCUCUCUGGGUGGCGAGUGGCGGACGGGUGAGGAAUACAUCGGAAUCUACCUUGUCGUGGGGGAUAACGUAGGGAAACUUACGCUAAUACCGCAUACGACCUUCGGGUGAAAGUGGGGGACCGCAAGGCCUCACGCGAUUAGAUGAGCCGAUGUCGGAUUAGCUAGUUGGCGGGGUAAAAGCCCACCAAGGCGACGAUCCGUAGCUGGUCUGAGAGGAGGAUCAGCCAAACUGGAACUGAGACACGGUCCAGACUCCUACGGGAGGCAGCAGUGGGGAAUAUUGGACAAUGGGCGCAAGCCUGAUCCAGCCAUACCGCGUGGGUGAAGAAGGCCUUCGGGUUGUAAAGCCCUUUUGUUGGGAAAGAAAUCUUGCCGGUUAAUACCUGGCGAGGAUGACGGUACCCAAAGAAUAAGCACCGGCUAACUUCGUGCCAGCCGCCGCCGUAACAC
rnacentral:rRNA from 1 species